CACAGGGACUUUGCACUUGCUCUUCCUGCCGCCUAAAACCUUCUUACCCCAGGUUCUCAAGCCUUGAUAUAUAUACUGAGAACAUAUAAUGUGCCAGACAUUAUACCAAGUUUAAAAAUGAAAAGGAGUUCCAGACACCAGGCAAAGCACGAAGGCCAACUAGGAAGAUCCUACAGAAAACAGAGAGGAAUUGUUCCUUACAACAGAACAGAGAAACAAAAUGCAAGUUUUGGACAAUACCACCAAAGAAACAAUCCAGAGAGAGGAAGCAGUUUCAGUAAACCAACAUAUCUGAAAAAUUAAUUUGGACAUAAAAGCAAAUUUCCUACUUCAGUCUCAUUGUAAUCAUCUGGUUACUCCAGGGAGAUCUUAAACUUCCUCUGGAUAAUCAUUUACAAAGUGCUGAAUGUAAUCGGUGGAGCAUAAAAAGCCAGAUCCUGUACUCCUGAACGUCUUCCCUGGGAAACUUCUUCCUGGGAUGUGGGCCCCCAGGCAACACCAUCGAGUUGAAGGGUUCUAUAACCGAAGGGACUUCUGGACCAGUGAGCUCAGCUCUUUGCCUAAGAGGGAGAAAAGGGAGCUCCACAGUCAUAGCUGGUCCACCAUGGUGCUGGUGCGCUGUCUU
rnacentral:lncRNA from 1 species